AAGUUAUAGUCCAUGAUUACUAGUCAUGGAGUCAAAUGAAUCCAUGUAUAAAGUUAACCAUCCAUGGAGUAGCCUUUUUUAAAAACGUAAAAGCAUAUAUGCAGGUGAAAUAGAUUCCAAAACAAUAAUGUGGCCGUGAAUGUGAUGUAAUCUAGUUCACCUUGAGUUUUAAAAUUUUUGCUAAACCCUUCCUUCCAAAGAAAUAAAAAAUUCAAGUAAACUGAAUGAGACUAUAAUGUGAUGUCUCCCUUAUUUUUUAAAUUAAGUUCAAAUCUACUCAGUCAAUCCCAAUUUUUCCCAGGUCCUUAAUGAACACCCACCAUUAGGAACAAGAACAGGAUACUUUGCUAAUCAAUGCUUAAAGUGAAGCUGCUAUAAAGACUAGGACUAACAAACCCCAUAAAGUAAAAAUGAUGAUUUUCCUCAGGUUUUGGU
rnacentral:lncRNA from 1 species